AAAUCUUGCCUUGAUGCCCAGCCAACUGUUUGUGACCUGGGCAGGUGCCGGGGAAAACAGGCCAGGGCUGUGAUCCCCGGAAAUGAGUGCAGGAUGAACAGACCAGAGCCUGAGUGGGGUGCAGCGGGGAGCGGGUAAGGAAAAGGAUGUCACGGGGCUCUAGGACUGCUAGGUUUGAGAAAGUUUGGGUUUGAGAAAGACGGGUGGUGGUGUAAUGAUAGGCGGCUGAUGAUUGCAGAGCAAAUGAAUACAGCCAAGUGCUUGGAAGCUGGCCGAGCGGUGACCCAGACUGGCCCGAGGAAGAAAUAGUUGUAGAGGACAGAAAUCUUCAACAGCACUGUGUAAAAAGCGACUAGCAAGUGGAGGUUUGAUUCCAAGACCCUGGAACCUCGUUAGAAGGGACCGGCUCCUGUUGUUCUGUCAACUCCCUUGGCGGUGAAGGUGGCUGGACAUUCUCCCUGGAUACAUCGCAACCAUCUGAAAGCAGGACCCCCCCUGCGGAUGUCAAAAAGGACAAAUGGAAGGUUAUCAGCCAACCAGGCGACCAAAAGCUAAGAUUGGAGCGGGUUGGAGAUGUUUCGCCUUCAUGAUAAUAUUGUCUGGGACACUGGCAGUAUUGUCCCCAAGAGGACUAGAUCACACACACACACACAAAAAUGUAUGGAUUCAAUUGGCAAACUCGCUUAAUUUGUCUGAAUUCUAUCUAAAUGUUGAUGUAAAUUUCCAUCAUGUGUUGGGGAUGUGCCCCAUGUUGUAAACCUAAAAAUGCUGUCAAAUUAUAUACACCCAAGGUAAUUAUGUCAAAUAAUACCCAAUGUCUGAGGAUAAAACGGUCGGAAGGGAUGUCCUGCCAUAUAAAACAAUUGGAAGACUUGGCUCAAAGGGUACAUAAUAAAGAUGGCUGGGACUUGAGCCAAUGGCUAACUAAAUGGUUGCCCAACCUAAAAAAAACAAACAAAAAAACUCAAUCACAGGAAAUAGUUGAAGGUAGCAUUUUGACUUUAUGAAGAGCUGGGGGCUGUGUUCUGGCGAAGGUCAACCUCGUGCGUGGCAGACACACACACACACGCACACACACCUGAGUGCCUUAGGUAUUCUUGCCUUUGCAUAUUCUUCCUGACUCCUGCCACUGGAAUGUCCCCUUUGACCCCGGUCAGGGUGCAGCCAGCUGUUCAUGUCCGUCCGCACUGCUCUUUUUGCUUGCCUUCCUUUUGCCUCAUCAAUUACUUCUCCUUCACUCCCCAGUCCAAAUGGCCCUGCUCAUGGCAUGCAGCCCAUUUCUCCUCUUCUC
rnacentral:lncRNA from 1 species